GACAACCCGAGAGAUCGGGCGUUCCCCUUCGGGGGACGAGGGUGACGUAGGUGGUGCAUGGUUGUCGUCAGCUCGUGUCGUGAGAUGUUGGGUUAAGUCCCGCAACGAGCGCAACCCCUACGUUUAGUUGCUAACGCGUGAAGGCGAGCACUCUAGACGAACUGCCGUUGACAAACGGAGGAAGUGGGAUGACGUCAAAUCAUCAUGCCCCUUAUGUUCUGGGCUACACACGUGCUACAAUGGCCGGUACAGACGGAGGCGAAGCCGCGAGGCGGAGCAAAUCCGAAAAAGCCGGUCUCAGUUCGGAUUGCAGGCUGCAAUUCGCCUGCAUGAAGUCGGAAUCGCUAGUAAUCGCAGGUCAGCAUACUGCGGUGAAUACGUUCCCGGGCCUU
rnacentral:rRNA from 1 species